GGUUAGGGUUAGGGGGUUAGGGUUAAAGGGUUAUGGUUAGGGUUAGAGUGUUAGAGUUAGGGUUAGGGGGUUAGGGUUAGGGUUAGGCUUAGGGUUAGGGUUAGGGUUAGGGUUAGGGUUAGGGUUAGGGUUAGGGUUAGAGGGUUAGGGUUAGGGUUAGGGUUAGGGUUAGGGUUAGGGUUAGAGGUUAGGGUUAGGGUUAGGGUUAGGGUUAGGGUUAGGGUUAGGGUUAGGGGGUUAGGGUUAGGGGGUUAGGGUUAGGGUUAGGGGGUUAGCGUUAGGGUUAGUGUUAGGGUUAGAGGGUUAGGGUUAGGGUUAGGGUUAGGGUUAGGGUUAGGGUUAGUGUUAAG
rnacentral:lncRNA from 1 species